AGCCACAUCCAUGCUAUCUCCUAAAGCAGUCAUUCUGAAACCCAAUCUGGGGACAGUGCAGACUAAAUAAAAUUUCAUUUUGAUUUGGCCUCCCGCUGCGAAUGGGACUGCUUUGUCUCAGCCGACAGAACCAGCAAGCCAGAAAGGGAAUGAAGACAUUUGGAGAAGAAGCGUUUACUGAAAGGAGAUUCCUGGGCUGGAGGAAAACCAUGAUCUACAGUUCAUGUUGACAGAUAUUGUAUUUUUGACGAGGGAACUGAGCUGUCAAAACUAAGUGACUUGAUUGAGGCCAUGCAGCUGGCGAGGGGAGGACCAGGAUCUGAACCCAACUGGGUCUCCCAAGCCUGGGCCACUGAACCAUUUCACCUCUUGGAAAAACUUAAUGGUCAGAGUGGCCCACCCAGUCCAUGGACAGCAUGGAGGAUAAACUGCUUCCCUAGAAAUCCUCUCCAGCAUUCUUGCCACCACGACUUUGGGACACAUUGACCAUGAGGAGGAGCUGGUCAAUGAUGGACAGGAGUCCAGAUUAGCAGAGAUGUGGUAAUAAGGACACCGAUGCCUAAAUACUUGAAAUAUCCAAUAGGAAGCAUUCCACCUUUGUGCAAAUGCGAACCACAUCUCACCAAGUUCAGGCCAAGGCUGCCACCGGUGACGUUUUGGAAAAGAAAAAAAAAAGCGGGGGGAGAGGAGAGAAACAGAGAAGCAAGGAAUGCAGAAGAGAGCAGAGGCCACAAAAACAGCAGCAACGUGUCCUGUGUAUUCUGUUUCCUUGUAAAACUAUGAAGCAUGUUAAGGAGAUACUUCAUUUUUUGAGGAUUCAUACUCUUGUUUAUAUUAUAAUAAAAACAACCCAUGUUCUUUCUAAAAAUUUAGGCAAUGCCUUCGUGCACAUAAAAGUAAAACAAAAUCACCUGUAAUCCUACCACACGCAGAUCAGCACUUGCUAAUCUUUUCACAGGGAUCCUAAGAAUAUCCUAUUCUCUAUAGAAUAUAGUUGAUUUAUGUUACCUAAUAACUAACUGUUAACCAUUUUAAAAUUCUUCAGUUUUACAUUAUGCUAGAAAAAAGGAGCCGUCACUCUACGUGACAUUUCUGUAUAUUGGUUUAUUCAUUCAAUAAACAUUUUUUAAGUACCUA
rnacentral:lncRNA from 1 species